GGCACUUCAAUCUUUUGUCUUGCCCAUUCACUGUCUGAAAGGCACGCAUACACAAUCCAUGUCUCAAGGCUUAGAAAUCAGUAUUUAACCUGAGGCCCCUUCAGCUACACUGAUUGAAGUCACUUUAACAAGUGACAUCACUAAGGGAUCAUAGACUGACCAGGUGAAUCCAGGUAAAGGCUGUGUCAGGUGUUCCUAAUGUUUUGUAUUCUCUGUUUGAUUCAGCUUGUGUUUAUCUACUCUUGUUCAAUGUGUUAUUUGUGUGUAUCAAUAUGUGACAUGUCUCCACUGUCUUUCCUAAAGGGGGAUACAGAGGCCCAGGAGGGGCCGGGGGUAGGGGAGGAUAUGGUAACGGAGGCCAGGGAGGCUAUGGUAAUGUCUACUACUUUACUUAACAAACAGUCUCUGAACAGGCUUGUUAAGAUGAAAUGUCUUAGUAACUUAGGUUUACAUGAAAUCCACAAUGGUUAUAUGCCAAAAAUGUCUAACUCUUGCAGCAGUUUUCCUUGUUGAUUUAAAUAUUCAUUCAUUUAUUUUAAUACAUGUCUACAUUAUAUGACUUCUUCCCAUUUGUCUGAUUGUAGGUGCUGGUCUGGGAGCAGGAAAUGGCCAAGGAAUGGGGACGGGAGCCGGGCUGGGCUCACAGGGUGGGAAACCACGUGGAGGUGGAGGUGAGUGUGACAUUCAGGACAAGAGAUGUUUUAUUCCAAAGUUUGUACUAACAAUGCCGAGUAAACAUCAUCUGUCUGUUUGUCUGUGUUUGUCAGGAUACGGUGGUAAUGGCUAUGGCACACAGCCAGGUUACGCGGCUGGAGCUGGAGCCAGAGGCUAUCCACGACCAGGUGCUGGAGCUGGGUAUCCCAAUGGACAGGGAUCUAAGGGACCAAAACCGGUGUAUGCUGCAGGAGCUGGAGGAGUUCCCACUGGACAGGGUGCUAAACCAUCCAAACAGGGAUAUGGUGCAGGAGCUGGAGUGCCCAAUGGACAGGGUGCUAAGCCCAAUGGAUAUGGUCCAGGAGCUGGAGCUACCAACAGUGCUAAAAGCAAUGGAUAUGGUCCAGGAGCUGGAGCACCUAACGGCGCUAAAAGCAAUGGUAAACCUCUGAUACCCUGCCUGUCUGUGUUGCAUGCUGUAUGGUACUCUAUCUUUAGAAGAGUAUUGGUGAUAAGCGCCUGAACACAUCCAGCUAGUGUUUGCUAGAUAUUUGUGCACGGCUAUAAGCUAUGUGAUGAAAUACUAGGAUCAAGGGUAAAAUGUGUUGUGCAAGUGGUUUUGAUCAAUUGUCUAUAAGCAGUGUUGAGUAACCGUUGUUGUGGUCUCCAGGAUAUGGUGCAGGAGCUGGUGUUCCCAGUGAUCAGGGAGCCAAAGGCAAUGGUAAACCUCUGAUACCUUGUCUGUGUGUCUCUGUCAGUCUUUGUGCAUCUUGUCUGUCCGUGUCAGACAACAUGUGUUGUGUUUAUGCAAGUGGUUUUGAUUUUCUAUAAGCAGUGUUGAAUAACAGUUUUUGCGGUCUUCAGGACAUGGUCCAGGAACUGAAGUUCCCAAUGGUGGGGCUAAAAGCAAUGGUAAUGCCAGUUUAAAUCUCUGAGUUCAAAUAACUAGAUGGCACACAUUAUCAUAACCUACAAAAUAAAGUGGGUCCCCUGUAAGGACAAUAACACAGUAGGAGGAGACAGGGUGAUAUGUUUCUUAUUUUAAACCACUCUCUGUGUGGUGGUGUUUUUCAUGGUCAUUCGAGCCGGACAUAUAAUAUAUAAUAAUACAGUAUAUGCCAUUUAGCAGACACUGUUAACCAAAGAAACUUCUAGUCACGCAUGCAUACAUUUUAUAAAUGGGUGGCCCCAGUGGGAAUCAAACUCACAACUCUUAGUGUUGCAAGCGCUAUAACAGAGGGACAUUAUAUAUUAUAAGCUACAGAGCUAACUUGUUUAGUCGUCCCCAUGAUAUGGUCCAGGAGCUGGAGUUCCCAGUGAUCAGGGAGCCAAAGGCAAUGGUAAACCUCUGUGUCUGUCCUUUUUUUUCUAUUUUUCUUUGUGGCUGUAAUAUUGUGUAGGUAGCACUGUUGAGUAACAUUUGUUGUGGUCUCUAGGAUAUGGUCAAGGAGUGGGAGAUCCCAAUGGACAGGGUGCUAAAGCAACCAAAACAGCUAACCCCAUACAAUCUAGCUGUCUGUGUGUUAUAUCCACCUGCAUGUGCCAUUAACUGCCGUUUGUAGUGAUCAGUUUGUGUCAAUGGCUCAAGUGCCUUAGGAAAGUAUUCAGUACUUUUUCCUCGUUUUGUUACAUUACAGCCUUAUUCUAAAAUGGAUUAAAUAAAUAAAAAAUCCUCAUCAAUCUACACACAAUAGCCAAUAAUGACAAACCGAAAACAGGUUUUUAGACACAGAUCUGGGGAAGGGUACCAAAAAAUGUCUGCAGCAUUGAAGGUCCCCAAGAACACAGUGGCUGCCAUCAUUCUUAAAUGGAAGAAGUUUGGAACAACCUUGACACUUCCUUGAGCUGCCCGCUCUACCAAACUGAGCAAUCAGGGGAGAAGGGCCUUGGUCAGGGAGGUGGAGAUGGGAGAACCUUCCAGAAGGACAACCAUCUCUGCAGCACUCCACCAAUCAGGCUUUUAUAGUAGAGUGGCCAGACCGAAGCCACGCCUCAGUAAAAGGCACAUGACAGCCCACUUGAGCUUGCCAAUUGGCACCUAAAGGACACCCAGACCAUGAGAAACUAGAUUCUCUGGUCUGAUGAAACCAAGAUUGAACUCUUUGGCCUGAAUGCCAAGCUUCACGUCUGGAGGAAACCUGGUAACAUCCCUACAGUGACGCAUGGUAAUGGCAGCAUCAUGCUGUAGGGAUGUUUUUCAGCAGCAGUGACUGGAAGGCUAGUCAGGAUCGAGGCAAAGAUGAACGGAGCAAAGUCAGAGAGAUCCUUGAUGAAAACCUGCUCCAGAGUGCUCAGGACCUCAGACUGGGGCAAAUGUUCACCUUCCAACAGGAUAACGGCCCUCCAACAGGAUAAUGGCCCUAAGCACACAACCAAGACAACAUAGGAGUGGCUUCGGGACAAGUCUCUGAAUGUCCUUAUUCCACAGGCUGCGGCCCAGCCAGAGCCUGGAUGUGAAUACGAUCGAACAUCUCAGGAGAGACCUGAAAAUAGUUGUGCAGUGAUACUCCCCAUCCGACCUGACAGAGCUGGAGAAGAUCUGCAGGGAAGAAUGGGAGAAACUUCCCAAAUACAGGUGUGCCAAGCUUAUAGCAUCAUACCCAAGAAGAUGCAAUGCUGUAAUCGCUGCCAAAGGUGCUUUAACAAAGUACUGAGUAAAGGGACUGAAUGCUUAUGUAAAUGUGAUAUUUACGUUUAUAUUUUUUAUAAAUUAGCAAAAAUGUCUAAAAACCUCUUUUUGCUUUGUCAUUGUGCGGUAUUGUGUGUAGAUUGAGGAGGGGAAAAAACGAUUUAAUCAAUUUUAGAAUAAGGUAACAAAAUGUGGGAAAAGUUGAGGGGUCUAAAUACUUUCCAAAGGCACUGUAUAUGAUAUUACCCUCUAUGAAUGAUGCACCGGUCUUGUUGGCUCUAUGUUUGUGUUCUAGAAGCACACUGGAAGCUUUUGAUGAAUUGCUUUAGGGAUGGUUGACUUGAAAUUUGACCUGAGUUGCAGGUUUGUCUUAUUUUCACUGUGGCUUGGAUUUGUGUAAACAUAUCUUUCUGAUUGGUCACAGUUAUGUCGUAAGCAUGGAUGUUGAGUGUCACAGGCUACGGCCUAAUCACAGUGAUAUGUAAUGUGCAUGGAUGUUGAGUGUCACAGGCUACGGCCUAAUCACAGUG
rnacentral:lncRNA from 1 species